rnacentral:lncRNA from 1 species
CUGUCCUAUAUGGUAAAAUGCUCUCGCUGAGGAGAUGUUGUAGCCCUCAUCUAUGGAUUGGUUCUCCUUUUGAUUUUGAUUCCAUUCAUAACCUUCUUUGAAAAGGUUAUCUUUGUCUUGAUUGGCCUGUGUGGCUUUGAUAUAAAACAUGUAUAGGUUCUCAGUUUUACUAUGAACUAUAAAUGAAUAAUGAUUAUAAUUCUUCAACGUUUCUAUUAUGGAUCUAGUCAUGUCAUGCAAAUCAUGAUUUAAAUCAUGCACUAAUC